rnacentral:rRNA from 1 species
GAUGAACGCUGGCGGCGUGCCUAAUACAUGCCAGUCGAGCGAACAGACGAGGAGCUUGCUCCUCUGACGUUAGCGGCGGACGGGUGAGUAACACGUGGAUAACCUACCUAUAAGACUGGGAUAACUUCGGGAAACCGGAGCUAAUACCGGAUAAUAUAUUGAACCGCAUGGUUCAAUAGUGAAAGACGGUUUUGCUGUCACUUAUAGAUGGAUCCGCGCCGCAUUAGCUAGUUGGUAAGGUAACGGCUUACCAAGGCGACGAUGCGUAGCCGACCUGAGAGGGUGAUCGGCCACACUGGAACUGAGACACGGUCCAGACUCCUACGGGAGGCAGCAGUAGGGAAUCUUCCGCAAUGGGCGAAAGCCUGACGGAGCAACGCCGCGUGAGUGAUGAAGGUCUUCGGAUCGUAAAACUCUGUUAUUAGGGAAGAACAAAUGUGUAAGUAACUAUGCACGUCUCGACGGUACCUAAUCAGAAAGCCACGGCUAACUACGUG